CUCAAACAUCGAUAAGGGUUUAACAGCCUUGCAAUAAGGAUCUAAGGUCAUCCCCAACGGAGGUUUUAAGGGAGAGGUUUUAAGAAAAAGUAGGAAAAAAAUAAAUCAGAAAAGAAAAAAAAAGAGAAGAGCUCCUCUUAUUUAGUAUACUCGAUUUUGGAUUAGAGACUGUGACGUGUCGGCGGAUGGUUGGGUAAAAAGUUUAAUCGAGAGCAAAUUUUUUUUUUUGCAUUGUGUUCUUUCUCUUCCUCUCUCUCUCUCUCGCAAAUCUCUCAAUCGGAGGAGAUUUAAUCGGUUGGAAUAGUUGGAGAUGGAGUCGGAGAAGACUGGAAUCGAAGGAGAUUGAACUGGAAUCGAGUCUUGUUCCCAGAUUGAAUCUUAGUCAGUAUGAGGAACACAUGAACCGUGGAGCUGGGAUCUAUGCUGUUCUUGUGCAUCAAUUUGGAGGACAUAUCGCUGGUCUUCCUUCAAAUUAUCUUAUCCCUCUCACUUACAAUGUUACCAUGUAAGUAAUUCUUUUCAAUCUCCCACGGUUUUGAUGGAGUAGCCUUCGAUACACGAUCAUGCCAUUGCGUCUUCAUAGCUAGAAGAAUUAAGGAGUUUUGUAAACCAUUGUUUAGUUCAAAUUACUGAUGGUUUUGGCUUGAGAUGAGUUAAUGUGUAGAAAGGUAUAGGCUUGAUGGGGUUGAUGGUUUGUUUUUAUUGUUUAGCACUAGACAUCGCACCUUGCGAUUUUGCAGGAUAAAGAAGCAGAGAAAGAGGGUGAUGGUUCGAGGAGAGGGCUUCGGGCUUCGGUUCCCUGCAAAUUCUCCACGAACACGAACAACUUACCAACGGAGUUGGAUUUUGAGAGGACACGAGGGAGACAAAUUGCACAAGAGACAAGUGGAAAAGUUCAGUAUGGUGGAGGGCGUCAACCUGCAGUUUUAAGAACCUUCAGUCAAAGACUCUGUAUUUUUUCACCCUCGCCGCUGGAAUCCCGCAAGCUGAUGCAAACUGCAGCAUGUUCGUGAAUAUCUCAUCCUACGAUGCGAGUUACUAAGAAGUGUGUGAGCUCGGUUAUUCUGAAAAUUGAUCUGACAUUGUUUUGUUUUGGACAACUUUGGCAUGUUUUCAUUUUUGUUUCAAUGCAGACUGCAUUUCUUUGUUUUA